GUCGGGGUGGGGCAAGGGCGUAGGUAGUUAGGUUUCGAUUUUGCUGAGUGUGACAUGCCUUAGUGGGCAUGCGUGCUAUCCGGGAUGGCAGGAACCGGGGGAAGAUAAACCCGGAAAUGCUGAGUCAGGGUGGCCAAGAUGGUUGCCUGUCGCCAUCUUGGGGCCUUCACCAGAGUCCAAACAAAAAGCUAAGCUAGGGCCUGGUUCUGGUCCCAGUCUAGCAUUGGAACCACUUCUAGGAACGUUUCUUGCUGAGUCAGCUUGUCAUACCGAUCCUGGUCUACGUUUUGAACCUUACUUUUGAGGUGAAAAGCUAAGCUAGGGCCUUGUUCUGGUCCCUGUCUAGCAUUGGAACCACUUCUAGGAACAUUUCUUGCUGAGUCAGCUUGUCAUACAGAUCCUGGUGUAUAUUUUGAACCUUAUUUUGAGGUGAAAUGCUGAGCUAGGGCCUGGUUCUGGUCCCAGUCUAGCAUUGGAACCACUUCUAGGAACGUUUCUUGCUGAGUCAGCUUGUCAUACAGAUCCUGGUCUACAUUUUGAACCUUACUUUUGAGGUGAAAAGUGAAAGGCAAUGGAAGGGUGCCGCGGAGAAAAAGCGUUGAGAGGCAGGGCAAAGAAGGCAAAGGUUCCUUUAUUAAGCUCUCGGGCGAGGUUCACUGGUCCGCAGGGGAGGGCCAGGGAAGUCCAACUGUGUUGGAGGUGCAGCACGCUUAUAUGGACACUAGCUGAGGUAGGGGCGGAGUUGGGGUGGGGCAAGGGCGGAGUUAAUUAGGUUUUGUUUUCAUGAGUGUGAUGCGCCUUAGUGGGCAUGCGUGCUAUCCGAGAUGGCGGGAAUGGGGGGAAGAUGAACCCGGAAAUGCUGAGUCAGGGUGUCCAAGAUGGUUUCCUCUCGCCAUCUUGGGGCCUUCACCAGAGUCCAAACAAAAAGCUAAGCUAGGGCCUGGUUCUCGUCCCAGUCUAGCAUUGGAACCACUUCUAGGAACGUUUCUUGCUGAGUCAGCUUGUCAUACAGAUCCUGGUCUACAUUUUGAACCUUACUUUUGAGGUGAAAAGUGAAAGGCAAUGGAAGGGUGCCGCGGAGAAAAAGCAUCGAGAGGCAGGGCAAAGAAGGCAAAAGUUCCUUUAUUAAGCUCUUGGGCGAGGUUCACUGGUCCGCAGGGGAGGGCCAGGGAAGUCGCACUGUGUUGGAGGUGCAGCACGCUUAUAUGGACACUAGGUGAGGUAGGGGCAGAGUCGGGGUGGGGCAAGGGUGGAGUUAGGUUUCAUUUUGAUGAGUGUGAUGCGCCUUAGUGGGCACACGUGCUAGCCCGGGAUGGCGGGAAUGGGGGGAAGAUGAACCCAGAAAUGCUGAGUCAGGGUGGCCAAGAUGGUUGCCUGUCGCCAUCUUGGGGCCUUCACCGGAGUUCAAACAAAAACGUAAGCUAGGGCCUGGUUCUGCUCCCAGUCUAGCAUUGGAAGCACUUCUAGGAACGUUUCUUGCUGAGUCAGCUUGUCAUACAGAUCCUGGUCUACAUUUUGAACCUUACUUUGAGGGGAAAAGCUAUGCUAGGGCCUGGUUCUGGUCCCGUUCUAGCAUUGGAACCACUUCUAGGAACGUUUCUUGCUGAGUCAGCUUGUCAUACAGAUCCUGAUCUACAUUUUGAACCUACUUUUGAGGUGAAAAGCUUAGCUAGUACCUGUUUCUGGUCCCAGUCUGGCAUUGGAACCACUUCUAGGAACAUUUCUUCCUGAAUCAGCUUGUCAUGCAGAAUCUGGUCUACAUUUUGAACCUUACCUUUGAGGUGAAAAGUGAAACACAAUGGAAGGGUGCCGCGGACAAAAAGGGUCGAGAGGCAGGGCAAAGAAGGCAAAAGUUCCUUUAUUAAGCUCUUGGGCGAGGUUCACUGGUCCGCAGGGUAGGGCCAGGGAAGUCGCACUGUGUUGGAUGUGCAGCUCACUUAUAUGGAAACUAGGUGAGGUAAGGGCGGAGUCGGGGUGGGGCAAGGGCGGAGUUAGUUAGGUUUCCUUUUCCUGAGUGUGACGCGCCUUAGUGGGCACGCAUGCUAGCCGGGAUGGUGGGAACGGGGGGAAGAUGAACCCGGAAAUGCUGAGUCAGGGUGGCCAAGAUGGUUGCCUGUCGCCAUCUUGGGGCCUUCACCAGAGUCCAAACAAAAAGCUAAGCUAGGGCCUGGUUCUGCUCCCAGUCUAGCAUUGGAACCACUUCUAGGAACGUUUCUUGCUGAGUCAGCUUGUCAUACAGAUCCUAGUCUACAUUUUGAACCUUACUUUUGAGGUGAAAAGCUCAGCUAGGUCCUGAUUCUGGUCCCAGUCUAGCAUUGGAACCACUUCUAGGAAUGUUUCUUGCUGAGUCAGCUUGUCAUACAGAUCCUGGUCUACAUUUAGAACCUUGCUUUUGAGGUGAAAAGUGAAAGGCAAUGGAAGAGUUCCGUAGACAAAAAGGGUCGAGAGGCAGGGCAAAGAAUGCAAAAGUUCCUUUAUUAAGCUCUUGGGCGAGGUUCACUGGUCCGCCGGGAAAGGCUGGGGAAGUCGCACUGUGUUGGAGGUGCAGCAUGCUUAUAUGGACACUAGGGGCAGGUCUCCAGCUGAAUCUGUGCCUACAAAUGGAAUCAAAGUCUCAUCAAAGUCUCAGUUCCCGAGGCAGAAGAGAUGGGUGUGUCUUAUCCAAGAUUUCUCUGGCUCCAGGGGCAAGUCUCCAGCUGAAUCUGUGCCUACAAUGCAAACAAAGUCUCAUCAAAGUCUCAGUUCCUGAGGCAGAAGAGAUGGGUGUGUCUUAUCCAAGAUUUCUCUGGCUCCAGGGGCAGGUCUCCAGCAGAAUCUGUGCCUACAAAUGGAAUCAAAGUCUCAUCAAAGUCUCAGUCAGUUCCUGAGGCAGAAGAGGUUUUUAAAAAGAAAAGGGUGGAAAUGUGAAAGGAAAAUAUCUGUGGUCCCCAAAAUCACGAAGGAAAAGUCAAGCCGGGAACUGCUUAGGGCAAACCUGCCUCCCAUUCUAUUCAAAGUCACUCCUCUGCCCAAUCAGAUAGAUGCUUAUCUGAUUUGCCUCCUUUGGAAAGGCUGAUCAGAAACUCAAAAGAAUGGAACCAUUUGUGUAUCAGCCAUCUGUGACCUGGAAGCUUCCUCCCCACUUCAGUCUUCCUGCCUUUGCUUCAAGUUGUCCUGUCUUUCCAGAUGAAGCAAUGUACUUCUUAACAUAUAUUGACUGAUGUCUCAUGAUGUCUCCCUAAAUGUAUGAAACCAAGCUGUGCCUGACAACCUUGGGCAUAUUUUGUCAAGACUUCCCUGAGGCU
rnacentral:lncRNA from 1 species